GCCCGUGUGGUGUAGCGGUUCAGCAUUCCACGUUGUAGGCACAGGGGAAGUCGGGAGGAAAUGUGGUUCCAACCUACCUCGUGGGGCCCGGGUUCGAGUCCUGGCGCGGGCA